rnacentral:rRNA from 1 species
UGGGGAAUUUUGGACAAUGGGGGCAACCCUGAUCCAGCAAUGCCGCGUGUGUGAAGAAGGCCUUCGGGUUGUAAAGCACUUUUGUCCGGGAAGAAAUCGCACCUGAUAAUACUGGGUGUGGAUGACGGUACCUGAAGAAUAAGGACCGGCUAACUACGUGCCAGCAGCCGCGGUAAUACGUAGGGUCCAAGCGUUAAUCGGAAUUACUGGGAGUAAAGCGUGCGCAGGCGGUUGUGCAAGACCGAUGUGAAAUCCCCGGGCUUAACCUGGGAAUUGCAUUGGUGACUGCACGGCUAGAGUGUGUCAGAGGGGGGUAGAAUUCCACGUGUAGCAGUGAAAUGCGUAGAGAUGUGGAGGAAUACCGAUGGCGAAGGCAGCCCCCUGGGAUAACACUGACGCUCAUGCACGAAAGCGUGGGGAGCAAACAGG